AUGAGAAAGGACGUGGUCUUUUGUCUCAUGAAAUCAGCGCGACAUAUUUCCACACAGGAUUUCUCACAGCUUCAGUUCCAUGCUGAAAAUCAGUGGACAUGCCAAUUGACUCCAGCUGAAUCGCUGCCCAUUCAUUUAGCUCUGAUUCAAGAGGCUUCUAGCUUUUUUCCUCACAGUUUUGAGUCUGCCUUCUGCUCGCAUAUUCUUUUUGCCUGCGAUGGAGCGACAUCAGAUGUGUGCAGCAACUGAGAGAGAAUCCUGGCUGUGAAUUACAAGGUGGCGUGAUUACGAAGAUUUUCAUUCGCUGCCUUUCGUCAGCGAGCCGCCAGGAGGCCGAUAGCCAAAUGCUAACAUUUGAUUGAAUUAUCCCUCAACAUGAUGUGGCAGUAAACUGUUAUUCCUCCAUCUUACCAGCCCUCUGCUGUCUCGCCCCUGAGCGACGACUUUCAUCCUCUCUCAUAUCUCUGCUGUCAUAGACAUACUGGCACUCGUCUGCCGCCGCGAUGGCUUCGGCCUUUUGCUCAUUUACGGCUCUGUAUUCCCGACAGGCUGUCUGAUUCCUGAGGGGAGGCCUGUGGAGGACGCUCUGUUAAAUUUACGGCCGUAUAUAAAUAUAUAUGAACGUGCGGUUCUCUCAGAUUGAAAACAUAUACCUGCGACGAUUGCCUGCUAUGAAGUUCAUUCCAGCGGUAAUGCUGUUUUUCCCCCCAUCUCGUCAGCUCCUUCAAAGAACGCAUCCUAUUUUUCCUAUUUUAAGGCAUGAGAGAUAUAUGGAAAGGAACAGGGUAAAUAUUUGAGAGUAUCGCAGCCUCAUUUCUUGGAUUAAUUCAGUUGGUUUUCUUCGACUGGCUUCUCCACUGGAAAAUCCAUUCUAGUCCAAGCAACUCGAGGAGAGAAUGCUUUCUCACUCAUGUUUAGGUUGCAAAUGCAUUUUAGGAAUUGAGAACAAUGCACGCUGCUUGUUCAACAUGAUUUCUGUGGCGAUGAGUUGCAAUGAGAAAUAUAUUAUCAG
ensembl:lncRNA